rnacentral:rRNA from 1 species
UACGUAGGGUGCGAGCGUUAAUCGGAAUUACUGGGCGUAAAGCGUGCGCAGGCGGUUCGUCGAGUCGGAGGUGAAAUCCCCGGGCUUAACCUGGGAAUUGCCAUGGAAACUGGCGAACUGGAGUGCGGCAGAGGGGGGUGGAAUUCCGCGUGUAGCAGUGAAAUGCGUAGAGAUGCGGAGGAACACCGAUGGCGAAGGCAGCCCCCUGGGCUAGCACUGACGCUCAGGCACGAAAGCGUGGGGAGCAAACAGG